CGCCUUCUGAAAAGAUAUAGAAGGUCCAGCCUGCCCAGUGACAAAGUUAAACGGCCGCGGUACCCUAACCGUGCGAAGGUAGCGCAAUCACUUGUUCUUUAAAUAAGGACUAGUAUGAAUGGCAUCACGAGGAUUAUACUGUCUCCCCCUUUUAAUCAGUGAAACUGAUCUCCCCGUGAAGAAGCGGGGAUUAUUUUAUAAGACGAGAAGACCCUAUGGAGCUUUAAACCUAGCACCACAUACCUUUUAUAUUUUCAUAGUAAACAGGUAAAGCUUGAGUACUAGUUUUCGGUUGGGGUGACCACGGAGCAAAGCAAAACCUCCAUGUUGAAAAGGUAUCCUCCUUAAUCCAAGAACAACACUUCAAAGAAUCAGUAUACUGACAUAAUUGAUCCAAAUAAUUUGAUCAACGAACCAAGUUACCCUAGGGAUAACAGCGCAAUCCAUUUCAAGAGCUCAUAUCGACAAAUGGGUUUACGACCUCGAUGUUGGAUCAGGGUAUCCCAGUGGUGCAGCCGCUACUAAAGGUUCGUUUGUUCAACGAUUAAAACCCU
rnacentral:rRNA from 1 species